CCUACGGGCGGCAGCAGUGAGGAAUAUUGGUCAAUGGACGAGAGUCUGAACCAGCCAAGUAGCGUGAAGGAUGACUGCCCUAUGGGUUGUAAACUUCUUUUAUAUGGGAAUAAAAUGUUCCACGUGUGGGAUUUUGUAUGUACCAUAUGAAUAAGGAUCGGCUAACUCCGUGCCAGCAGCCGCGGUAAUACGGAGGAUCCGAGCGUUAUCCGGAUUUAUUGGGUUUAAAGGGAGCGUAGGUGGAUUGUUAAGUCAGUUGUGAAAGUUUGCGGCUCAACCGUAAAAUUGCAGUUGAAACUGGCAGUCUUGAGUACAGUAGAGGUGGGCGGAAUGUGUGGUGUAGCGGUGAAAUGCUUAGAUAUCACGAAGAACUCCGAUUGCGAAGGCAGUUCACUGGACUGCAACUGACACUGAGGCUCGAAAGUGUGGGUAUCAAACAGGAUUAGAUACCCGGGUAGUC
rnacentral:rRNA from 1 species